ACAAUGAAAUGUCCAAUGUUCUGUAUACAGAACCCAGUUUUCCACAUAGACCAAGCAAAAUACAAAAUAAUAUGCAAGCAACUGGGAACAAUAAAAAAGAAGAGCAAGUGAAGAAGACCAUAAAGAAAAUACCAUGGUAAGGCCGUGUAAGAUAACUUUCCCACUAAAUUACAAAAACAAUGCAGAGACUUAAAAUUCCAUGUUUGUGUUGUCGGCUAGAUGUUUGUGUUCUCGGCUAGGCACUCAAAUGAGAAAUAAAGUUAGAUGCAUCAAAUUGAAAUGCAAUAGCAUACGCCAUGUGGCAAAUUACAAGCAAUUGAGCGAGUAUCUUCUAGUAUUAGGGAAAAAAAAGGUCUGGGCAAAAAUAAAUAAAUAAAUAA
rnacentral:misc_RNA from 1 species